CCAUGUGGAUUUUACUGUGUCGAAGAGAAAAGUUAAAAACGCAAGCCCUCUCGUCUCCUGUCUCGCUAGCUCUCUCUCCUCUUGCAACCCCUCGCCGCCGCCGCCACCACCCAUGCCGGCCGAUUCCGGUGAGUCCCGGCGGCGGGUGGCACACCAAAGACCACCCCUCUCACCGCUCCUUCCUCCCAUCCGUCCAAAUCCGUCACGAGAGGUUUUCCGCGCUCGCUCCCGACCCUCAGCCAUAGCUAGGGUUUCGACGCAGCGUCCCCUUCGUCGCCGGCGAGGCUCUGGCGGCCUCCGACGGCUCAUCUCAGUCCCCUUCGUCGCCCCACCGCGUGGCUCCGCCUCAUGGACGGUCCUCCCACGCCCGAUGGCCAUGAGGUGCACGCGGUGCGUUGGGCCGUGUCUUCUCUGCACCUAUUUGGUGCAGCAGCCUCUUGUCUCCAUAGACGAGGAGGGCGACCGGGACCCAAGCGCAAGACGAUGAGAGCACGGUCGUCGGGCACCGGCACACCGGCAGCGCGCGCAUGGGCCUCCUCGCCGCGGCCUCGGACUGGAAGAAUUCAUGGACGGUCUAACCAUCUCAGAACAGGUCGCCGGCUUCCUCUACGACUUGCUGGCCUCGUUGGUGGACAGAGGGGUCGGCUGCCACUCGCGGCUCUGAAUUGCAGGACUCGCUGGAUGGAUGCGAGUGUGAGCAACCAAGCUAUAUCAGAUUGCUCACAAGAUAGGUUAGAUUUUUGUGGCAUAUCACUAUGCUUUUUCUGUUGGUGUAGACCUUUUCCCAUUGUAUUAUGAGCUGUGUGACGAGAGGUCAGAGCGACGAAUUUGAAGCUGUUAUUCCCUUGCUAUACCAUUCUCCACAACACAAAGUCAAAGCGGGCAUGUUUCUUCUGUCUUUAAACUUGUGCACUAUGAGCUGGUGUUGCAAUGCUUGAAGAAGUUGACUGGCGUUGUUGUGCAAGAUAUACCUUAUAGAACAAGCCAUGCUGUUCGAAAUGCUGGCACAAAUUGCUUCUGAUAAAGAAGUUGACGAGCUUCUCAUGAAGCUGCCACGUCGAUUACGAGAUGCACUUCUACCCUUCCAACUUGAAGGUGUCAAAUUUGGGCUUCGGAGGCAAGGGCGCUGCCUUAUUACAGAUGAGAUGGGCUUGGCAAGACUAACCAGAAUGGGGAAGCAGUAUGUUCUCAUUUAUUUAAAUGCUGGCAAUUGCAAUAGCUUGUUGCUUAAAGGACGAGGGCCCUCUAUUAAUAGUGUGUCCAGCUGUUCUGCAUUAUACUUGGGCGGAGGAAUUGGAACGCUGGGAUCCUUCAUUUCUUCCAAAAGAUAUUCAUCUUGGUACUGAUUCAGAGUUUCAUUAUUCAAGAGUUAAUUUUACUGAUGUCAAACCUGGUAUUAUAAUUAUUUCAUAUCUUUAGUGUAUCUAAUUUGAUCCUGAAUGCUUGUGAAGUUACAACGAUCUCAAUAUUUAUUUUCAUCAAGUUUGAAUUGCCUGCCUACCACAUGUGCCAUGUGGUAAUGAUCUCCAUAUAUUGAUUGCAUAUUUUGUAUUUUAUCCAUACAAAUUCUAAGUAUCGAAUUCUUUUGGCCCAGAUAUAUCAUUCAUUUGUUGCAUCAGCGUCAGUUUUGAAAUAUUGCAGUAAAAACAGUUGCAGGAUAAAAUUGCAUCCCGUAUGAACAAUCAUAGAUGGACCCAGAUCACUCAAAUAAAAAAAAGAUAGAUUUGACGCCGCUGCCGUGGUCGUCUUCGAUGCCGUCGCCGUCCUCCUCUUCGUCAUGCAUGGUGAGGUCGAUGUACGGUGGUGGCUUUCAUAGGUGGGCAGGCUGCCCCUGCAGCGGCUGCAAGGCCGGAGGCGCCUGCAACACCUCUUCCAGUGGCGGGAACGGCGCCCACCCACACGGGCGGCACGGACGUGUUCCGGCGUGCACGGCACCAUGUCCGUCCACGUCCAGGACUGGCCCACCAAUGCCACGAAGGGUGCUCAUCGUCGGCCCCUCCUUGACCUCCUCCAUGACCUCCUCCUUGACCUACAACUCCGGGGGGAUGGCGACGUCGCAUGCGGCGGAGAGGGCCAGCAUCUCGUCAAGGCCCUCCCAUUGGGCACGGUUAUAUUUCAGUUUUAGAAAUAUGUAUUGAUGGAAUAUAGCAGCGUUUCUUUUUACUUAAUUUCGUUUUGCUGUUUUCCAUAUAUAUCACUCAUUUUAUUGACAUGUACAUAUCAAAUCCAGUCCAUGUCUUGGCCUCUUUUUGAUGUCUGCGUUAUCUUCCCGCAGGUGUUGUAAUUUUAUCAACACGCAGGAAGGAUUUAUGGUACAGGUAGUCAUGCUAAUUAAAUUCAGAAAUGUGUUGUAUGUCUCUAAUCUUUGCAGCUUCAUGGUGUAGGAUAAAAGAAUGGCAUUAGCCCAACAAAAACUGUGAUCUGCCUCACAAUUUCUUCUAAUUCUAAAGUAGCACUGAAUCGAACGGGGAAUUCCGGCAACUUUGCAGGUGUCUGGGUAUGUAUUUGUAUAAACUGUCAACUGAAAACGGCUUGGUUCCUUUCAAAAAGACUGAAAAUAUCUUACUAGAUAGUAAUGUUUAUACUUGUGGCGGACUAUCAAUCCUUACAGUUAGAUGAACGUAUUUAUCUGUUGAAGAAAAAGUCAUAUUGGUAACUAUGUGACAUAUAUGCAAAUCCAAGUUGGCAUAAUGAAAUAUAGAUGGACACAAUAUUAUCCAUCUCUAUUUAGCUUGUCAUAAAAAUGAAAUUAUUUGCUAACUAGCUAUUUCUUUUACUGCCAAUUUUCUUUGCUUUUUAUGUUAUCCUUUUUGGAAUAUUACUUCUACAUGUCAAGAGAAUAUGCAGUAUAUAAGUUUUACAUAUAGAUCUUCCUGAUGUUAAUAACAUGCAUAUAUGUGCUUUAGUUUUUGUUUCUAUGUGAAUAGUAAGCACCGGAGGGAUGGUCUGUGUGGCACACAAAACACAGUGCAACGAGGGGCUGCAUAUCAUCAGGUCGAGGGCUACAGUCGGCAUGGAUAGGGCUCGUCAUGCUGCGCCGUUCUCCCGACCUCCUUCCCAUCACAGCGUGAUGGGAAUCACUGGCUUACAAGGCUGUAACUCUGCUUAAACAUCUUGCCAAGGAGGAGUAGCAGCCGUGCCUGGAAGGCGUGGAGCAGGGGGCGGUGUAAGGGGUGUGGAGCAUGGCAACUCCAAGAUGCUAGCAUCCACUAGCUCAUAUUGGAUUGUUGGGAGAUAUUUGGUUCUAUGAUGGCCAUGUUGAUCAAAAUCACAUGUAAAACGAUCAGGAAGGUCCUGAUCAGGUGCUCUGGUCGCGCAAGGGGAGCGCGGCGCACAACCUCCGCCUGCUGAAGACGAUGUGGCAGUGCGGUGUGGGCCUUGACGGCAAGCGCAACGACCAGCUGGACUACGGCAACAGGGAAUUCUCCAUCGACGAGACGCCAGCGUUCCGGUUCUGCAUUGCGCCCUCCGUCCUGGACACCCCUGGUGUCUACAACGACGACCACUACUUCUUCUACGAUGCCCGUUAGAGGGGUGUGGACUGUGGACUACUAUGAUGGCGAGCAGAGUUAGUAUGGCCUGGAGAGCCUUGACGAUGGUGCAGAUGAGCAGCUGCUCUUCACUGGCAAGUCUCAUGGCUGCAAUACAUUGCUGUGCAUUGCCUGUGAUGGCAUCUCAAAUUGUUUCUGAAAGUAUAAUAUAAUACAUUUAUAAGGCCCUCAUCACUUGCAUGUACAUUUGCUACUAACAACGCAAAAAAGAAAAUGAAAGGAUGCGCUGCCUACACUACA